GGACACACAACGGUGUUCCACCUAAAGCGCUAACAGACAGACGGAUCGCGCAUCAACAGGUUGCACCAAUUUAUAGGAGAUCCCGUUUUAUGUCUUGUUUCAGGGUCCAAAGCCAGUGCAUGGCGUGACCUUGUAGGCCACACCUGGCCACAUCAUGUCAGACCUGCUGUGACCCCGCCACAUCUGGAGCCGACAUGCAGCAGAAAUGUGAUGUCCACUUUCUUUACCGAGGUCCUCUGACAUCUGCAAAAUGUCUACCGCCCAUCCUCGUCCCACUGUAAACUGUUUGUGUGCGCUGCCUGCCGGUUGCCAUGGUGAUGGGCC